GUUGCACUGAUUCGAUCGGGAUAGUCAUCAAAAUUAAAAUAAGAACCGAGACAGCUUCUUUUGCCAAUGGCGGGCCAUAUAAAGUUCCUCGGAACCUAAGCCGCAAGGCCGGUGGAUUACAAAGGCGGAGAGUUCUCAAAUCAUAUAUACUCGGACUUAUCAUCACAUCAUCGUGCAGCCCCUU
rnacentral:sRNA from 1 species